CUUGACAUGUCAAGAAUUUCGCAGAGAUGUGGAAGUGCUCGAAAGAGAACUUGAACACAGGUGCUGCAUGGCCGUCGUCAGCUCGUGUCGUGAGAUGUUGGGUUAAGUCCCGCAACGAGCGCAACCCUUGUCAUUAGUUGCUACGAAAGGGCACUCUAAUGAGACUGCCGGUGACAAACCGGAGGAAGGUGGGGAUGACGUCAGGUCCUCAUGGCCCUUAUGGGUAG
rnacentral:rRNA from 1 species